rnacentral:rRNA from 1 species
AGAUCAGAAUGUUGGUCGUGCCUUGGUACGUACUGGCAUUAUUGGUUUCUCCCUUCUGACGAACCAUGAUGUCAUUAAUUUGGUGUCUUGGGGAAUUAGGACUGUUACCUUGAAAAAAUUAGAGUGUUUAAAGCAAGCUUACGCUUGAAUACAUUAGCAUGGAAUAAUGAAAUAGGACGUUCGAUCCUAUUUUGUUGGUUUCUAGGAUUGACGUA